GGAGAGGUGGCUGAGUGGUCUAAAGCGACGGUUUGCUAAACCGUUGAGCCGAAAGGCUCGCGCGGGUUCGAAUCCCGCCUUCUCCG
rnacentral:tRNA from 1 species